CGCGGCCUAUCAGCUUGUUGGUGGGGUAAUGGCCUACCAAGGCUUCGACGGGUAGCCGGCCUGAGAGGGUGACCGGCCACACUGGGACUGAGACACGGCCCAGACUCCUACGGGAGGCAGCAGUGGGGAAUAUUGGACAAUGGGCGGAAGCCUGAUCCAGCAACGCCGCGUGAGGGAUGACGGCCUUCGGGUUGUAAACCUCUUUCACCGAUGACGAAGUUUUGUCUUUUUGGGCGAAGUGACGGUAGUCGGAGAAGAAGCACCGGCCAACUACGUGCCAGCAGCCGCGGUAAUACGUAGGGUGCGAGCGUUGUCCGGAAUUAUUGGGCGUAAAGGGCUCGUAGGCGGUUUGUCGCGUCGGGAGUGAAAACACCGGGCUUAACUCGGUGCUUGCUUUCGAUACGGGCAGACUAGAGGUAUGCAGGGGAGAACGGAAUUCCUGGUGUAGCGGUGAAAUGCGCAGAUAUCAGGAGGAACACCGGUGGCGAAGGCGGUUCUCUGGGCAUUACCUGACGCUGAGGAGCGAAAGUGUGGGGAGCGAACAGGAUUAGAUACCCUGGUAGUCCACACCGUAAACGUUGGGCGCUAGGUGUGGGGCCUAUUCCAUGGGUUCCGUGCCGCAGCUAACGCAUUAAGCGCCCCGCCUGGGGAGUACGG
rnacentral:rRNA from 1 species